GCUCAGGAUGAACGCUAGCUACAGGCUUAACACAUGCAAGUCGAGGGGCAGCAUGGUCUUAGCUUGCUAAGGCCGAUGGCGACCGGCGCACGGGUGAGUAACACGUAUCCAACCUGCCGUCUACUCUUGGACAGCCUUCUGAAAGGAAGAUUAAUACAAGAUGGCAUCAUGAGUCCGCAUGUUCACAUGAUUAAAGGUAUUCCGGUAGACGAUGGGGAUGCGUUCCAUUAGAUAGUAGGCGGGGUAACGGCCCACCUAGUCUUCGAUGGAUAGGGGUUCUGAGAGGAAGGUCCCCCACAUUGGAACUGAGACACGGUCCAAACUCCUACGGGAGGCAGCAGUGAGGAAUAUUGGUCAAUGGGCGAGAGCCUGAACCAGCCAAGUAGCGUGAAGGAUGAGUGCCCUAUGGGUUGUAAACUUCUUUUAUAAAGGAAUAAAGUCGGGUAUGGAUACCCGUUUGCAUGUACUUUAUGAAUAAGGAUCGGCUAACUCCGUGCCAGCAGCCGCGGUAAUACGGAGGAUCCGAGCGUUAUCCGGAUUUAUUGGGUUUAAAGGGAGCGUAGAUGGAUGUUUAAGUCAGUUGUGAAAGUUUGCGGCUCAACCGUAAAAUUGCAGUUGAUACUGGAUAUCUUGAGUGCAGUUGAGGCAGGCGGAAUUCGUGGUGUAGCGGUGAAAUGCUUAGAUAUCACGAAGAACUCCGAUUGCGAAGGCAGCCUGCUAAGCUGCAACUGACAUUGAGGCUCGAAAGUGUGGGUAUCAAACAGGAUUAGAUACCCUGGUAGUCCACACGGUAAACGAUGAAUACUCGCUGUUUGCGAUAUACUGCAAGCGGCCAAGCGAAAGCGUUAAGUAUUCCACCUGGGGAGUACGCCGGCAACGGUGAAACUCAAAGGAAUUGACGGGGGCCCGCACAAGCGGAGGAACAUGUGGUUUAAUUCGAUGAUACGCGAGGAACCUUACCCGGGCUUAAAUUGCAGAUGAAUUACGGUGAAAGCCGUAAGCCGCAAGGCAUCUGUGAAGGUGCUGCAUGGUUGUCGUCAGCUCGUGCCGUGAGGUGUCGGCUUAAGUGCCAUAACGAGCGCAACCCUUGUUGUCAGUUACUAACAGGUUCCGCUGAGGACUCUGACAAGACUGCCAUCGUAAGAUGUGAGGAAGGUGGGGAUGACGUCAAAUCAGCACGGCCCUUACGUCCGGGGCUACACACGUGUUACAAUGGGGGGUACAGAGGGCCGCUACCACGCGAGUGGAUGCCAAUCCCCAAAACCUCUCUCAGUUCGGACUGGAGUCUGCAACCCGACUCCACGAAGCUGGAUUCGCUAGUAAUCGCGCAUCAGCCACGGCGCGGUGAAUACGUUCCCGGGCCUUGUACACACCGCCCGUCAAGCCAUGGGAGCCGGGGGUACCUGAAGUGCGUAACCGCGAGGAGCGCCCUAGGGUA
rnacentral:rRNA from 1 species